UACGUAGGGUGCGAGCGUUAAUCGGAAUUACUGGGCGUAAAGCGUGCGCAGGCGGUUUUGUAGGCCAGAUGUGAAAUCCCCGGGCUUAACCUGGGAAUGGCAUUUGGGACUGCAAGGCUUGAGUGCGGCAGAGGAGACUAGAAUUCCUGGUGUAGCAGUGAAAUGCGCAGAUAUCAGGAGGAACACCGGUGGCGAAGGCGGGUCUCUGGGCCGAUACUGACGCUGAGGAGCGAAAGCGUGGGGAGCGAACAGG
rnacentral:rRNA from 1 species